rnacentral:rRNA from 1 species
GACGAACGCUGGCGGCGUGCUUAACACAUGCAAGUCGAACGGAAAGGCCUGCUUUCCCUUGCGGAUUGCGGGUACUCGAGUGGCGAACGGGUGAGUAACACGUGAGUGAUCUGCCCCCAACUUGGGUAUAAGCCUGGGAAACUGGGUCUAAUUCCCGAUAGGACUGCAGGGUGGUGCCUGUGGUGGAAAACGAUUUUCUAGUGGUUGGGGAUGAGCUCGCGGCCUAUCAGCUUGUUGGUGGGGUAAUGGCCUACCAAGGCGGCGACGGGUAGCCGGCCUGGGAGGGUGGACGGCCACAUUGGGACUGAGAUACGGCCCAGACUCCUACGGGAGGCAGCAGUGGGGAAUAUUGCACAAUGGGCGGAAGCCUGAUGCAGCGACGCCGCGUGGGGAUGACGGCCUUCGGGUUGUAAACUCCUUUCGACCGCGAGGAAGCCACCUGGUUGGAAGGGUGGUGACGGUAGUGGUAGAAGAAGCACCGGCUAACUACGUG